rnacentral:misc_RNA from 1 species
GAUGAAGAACGUAGCGAAAUGCGAUAAGUAAUGUGAAUUGCAGAAUUCAGUGAAUCAUCGAAUCUUUGAACGCAUCUUGCGCUCCUUGGUAUUCCUUGGAGCAUGCCUGUUUGAGUAUCAUGAGCAAAUCUCAAAGUCAAUUCCUUUUGUUGAUUCAAUUGGUUUUGCUUUGGACUUGGAGGCCUUGCAGAUUUCACAGUCUGCUCCUCUUAAAUGCAUUAGCUGGAUCUCAGUAAUUAUGCUUGGUUCCACUCGGCGUGAUAAGUAUCACUCGCUGAGGACACUGUUAAAAAGGUGGCCAGGAAAAUACUGAUUGAACCGCUUCUAACGGUCUAUUAAGUUAGACAAUUACCCUUAAGUUUGAUCUCAAAUCAGGUAGGACUACCCGCUGAACUUAAGCAUAUCAAUAAGCGGAGGA